rfam:Candidatus Magnetomorum sp. HK-1 HK1c0012, whole genome shotgun sequence.
CCCAGGGCGUUGCCCUGGGCUGGUAUUUAACGCCCUUUCAGGGCU